rnacentral:rRNA from 1 species
CCCUUUCUGACGAACCAUGAUGUCAUUUAUUUGGUGUUGUGGGGAAUCAGGACUGUUACUUUGAAAAAAUUAGAGUCGUUUAAAGCAGGCUCACGCUUGAAUACAUUAGCAUGGAAUAAUGAAAUAGGACGUUUGGUUCUAUUUUGUUGGUUUCUAGGAUCGACGUAAUGAUUAAUAGGGAUAGUUGGGGGCAUUAGUAUUCAAUUGUCAGAGGUGAAAUUCUUGGAUUUAUUGAAGACUAACUACUGCGAAAGCAUUUGCCAAGGAUGUUUUCAUUAAUCAAGAACGAAAGUUAGGGGAUCGAAGACGAUCAGAUACCGUCGUAGUCUUAACCAUAAACUAUGCCGACUAGGGAUCGGAUGAUGUUAAUUUUUUAAUGACUCAUUCGGCGCCUUACG